UAGGGAAUCUUCGGCAAUGGGGGGAACCCUGACCGAGCAACGCCGCGUGAGUGAAGAAGGUUUUCGGAUCGUAAAGCUCUGUUGUUAAGGAAGAACGAGUGUGAGAAUGGAAAGUUCAUACUGGGACGGUACUUAACCAGAAAGGGACGGCUAACUACGUGCCAUCAGCCGCGGUAAUACGUAGGUCCCGAGCGUUGUCCGGAUUUAUUGGGCGUAAAGCGAGCGCAGGCGGUUAGAUAAGUCUGAAGUUAAAGGCAGUGGCUCAACCAUUGUAGGCUUUGGAAACUGUUUAACUUGAGUGCAGAAGGGGAGAGUGGAAUUCCAUGUGUAGCUGUGAAAUGCGUAGAUAUAUGGAGGAACACCGGUGGCGAAAGCGGCUCUCUGGUCUGUAACUGACGCUGAGGCUCGAAAGCGUGGGGAGCGAACAGG
rnacentral:rRNA from 1 species